GCUGACCAGUGCACAGGGCUGCAGGGCUUCCUGGUCUUCCACAGCUUCGGGGGUGGCACCGGCUCUGGCUUCACCUCCCUGCUCAUGGAACGCCUCUCCGUUGACUAUGGCAAGAAGUCCAAGCUGGAGUUCUCCAUCUACCCAGCCCCACAGGUCUCCACAGCCGUGGUGGAGCCCUACAACUCCAUCCUCACCACCCACACCACCCUGGAGCACUCCGACUGUGCCUUCAUGGUGGACAACGAAGCCAUCUAUGACAUCUGCCGCCGCAACCUGGACAUCGAGAGACCCACCUACACCAACCUCAACCGCCUCAUCAGCCAGAUCGUGUCCUCCAUCACGGCCUCCCUGCGCUUCGAUGGGGCUCUGAACGUCGACCUGACGGAGUUCCAGACCAACCUGGUGCCCUAUCCCCGCAUCCACUUCCCCUUGGCCACCUACGCCCCGGUCAUCUCAGCCGAGAAGGCUUACCACGAGCAGCUCUCGGUGGCUGAGAUCCCUGCUGCGACCCGGCCAACCAGAUGGUGAAGUGUGCCCCCCGCCACGGCAAGUACAUGGCGUGCUGCCUGCUGUACCGCGGGGACGUGGUGCCCAAGGAUGUCAACGCCGCCAUCGCCACCAUCAAAACCAAACGCACCAUCCAGUUUGUGGACUGGUGCCCUACUGGUUUCAAGGUUGGUAUCAACUACCAACCCCCCACGGUGGUGCCCGGUGGGGACCUGGCCAAGGUGCAACGCGCCGUGUGCAUGUUGAGCAACACGACGGCCAUCGCCGAGGCCUGGGCCCGCCUGGACCACAAGUUUGAC